CACACCAUUGUGCAUUGGUGAAAAAGCUGGCAAUAAACUACACAGAUUUCUACAUCAUCAAGUUACUAAAUUACUAUAGGAGAAUGAGAUUUUUUAACACAAGCAUAUGCUGCUUUAACUAGAGAAGUGCUGCAGUAUUCAUAUAGAAAGUGUUGAUUUGACUGCAGCUAUUUCCAUAAUUUCAUUUUCAUCUUCCUAUUCUUGGUAUUAUCUUUGCCUUAUCACAAUGAGUGGCUUAAAAUAUGCCUUUGUGAUUUAUUAAAAUGAUUGAUAAACCAUCUUAUCUGCCAGUUUCAGCCCAGCAGAAAAUUAAAAAAGCUGAUUGUUUACAGCAUGUGGCUUCAAGAUAUAGCCACAUAAAGAAGAAAGAAAAAAAAUUGGAACUGAUGUAGAAGAAUGCUACAAACUAACCUUUCAUGAGAAGCGGCAUGAAUGGAAUGAUGGGAGGAGCCAUUUUGGCGACAGUCAAGCGGUACACUCGAUGAUUGCGUGAAGGGUCCAUAAUGGUCUCAAAUUCCUCAAACAGCUUCUUUAACUUUCCAGGAAGUUUCUUAUACACAGGUCUGAGACAGCCUACUGACAGCAAUGUUGCUUAGUCCCAUCACAAUGGCGAAAAAUGAAUGAAGAUUCUGGAAGUCUUUACAACUGUGUAGUGGAGAAUAUAUGACAGGUGCUACAUCACCCAUUCUGCUCACAUAACCUACUGGGGUUCAGGGAUGGAAGAGGGACAAAGCAAAGUUAGCACUACAGCUGCUCUAGCAGGUGUGUAAUAAUUCAAAUUGAUCAACAUAUGAGGCACCAUGUGAGAGAUUUAUAACAUCUGAAUGCAUGAAUAGUAUGAAUGGACCAGUGUUUAAUGAAUUUGCACUACUAAUACUAAAAUGGAAUUUGGAAAAAAUGAGGAACAAGUAAGAUCAAGGUAUCAGAAUAAAUUGUUCUGCUAAAACAAAAAAUUUAGAAUAAUAAUUACACAGAAAAGAUCCCUGAUGC